CAGCCAUGCCGCGUGAGUGAUGAAGGCCCUAGGGUCGUAAAGCUCUUUUCGCCUGUGAAGAUAAUGACGGUAGCAGGUAAAGAAACCCCGGCUAACUCCGUGCCAGCAGCCGCGGUAAUACGGAGGGGGUUAGCGUUGUUCGGAAUUACUGGGCGUAAAGCGCACGUAGGCGGAUCGGAAAGUUGGGGGUGAAAUCCCGGGGCUCAACCCCGGAACUGCCUCCAAAACUAUCGGUCUAGAGUUCGAGAGAGGUGAGUGGAAUUCCGAGUGUAGAGGUGAAAUUCGUAGAUAUUCGGAGGAACACCAGUGGCGAAGGCGGCUCACUGGCUCGAUACUGACGCUGAGGUGCGAAAGUGUGGGGAGCAAACAGGAUUAGAUACCCUGGUAGUCCACACCGUAAACGAUGAAUGCCAGUCGUCGGGUAGCAUGCUAUUCGGUGACACACCUAACGGAUUAAGCAUUCCGCCUGG
rnacentral:rRNA from 1 species